GGCUGUUGGGCUGUGCGGUUAACCCGCGCAGGGCCACACUGGAUGAGGAGGUGGGGGGUGGGGAGGGAGAGGACGGAGGCUUACUAAGGCACCGGGCAGGAGCCUUCUCAUGUUUUAUCCCGUUGAAUCUUCCCCAUGAUCCUCCAAGACAGGGUGCUGUCACCCGCUGGACCAGCCUGGCGGAGACAGAGAUCCUACAGAAAGCUGACGUUCGGGCCCUUGCCUGCCUUCCAAUGCUCGGGUGCUGAGAAUACUCACUUCCAGCAGCCAAGACAUGGAAACAAUCCAGAUGUCCAUCAGUGGGUGAAUGGAUGAAGGACAUGCGGUAUAUACGUACAAUGGAGUACCAUUCGGCCUGAAGAAAGGAGGGAGUUCUGGCAUUUGUGACCACAUGGGUGAACCCGGAGGGCAUUAUGCUAAGUGAACCAAGCCAAACAGAGAAAGACAAAUACGGUAUGACCUCACU